GUCUAGCCUGCCCAAUGAAAAUUAAAUGGCCGCAGUAAAUUGACUGUGCAAAGGUAGCAUAAUCAUUAGUUUUUUAAUUAAAAGCUUGUAUGAAGGGUUGAACGAGGUAAAUUCUGUCUCUAUUUAAUUUAAAUUAGAAUUUAAUUUUUAAGUUAAAAAGCUUAAAUAUUUGUAAAAGACGAGAAGACCCUAUAGAGCUUUAUAAUUUUUAUAUUAUAAUAAUUUAAGUUUUUUUAAAGUUUUAUUAUAAAAGUUAUUUUAUUGGGGUAAUAGAAAGAUUAAAAUAAUUCUUUUUUAUUAUUUACAUAAAUAAAUGAAUUUAAUGAUCCAUUUUUAAUGAUUAUAAGAUUAAGUUACCUUAGGGAUAACAGCGUAAUUUUUUUAAAGAGUUCAUAUCGAUAAAAAAGUUUGCGACCUCGAUGUUGGAUUAAAGAUUAGUUUAGGUGUAGAAGUUUAAAUUUUUGGUCUGUUCGACCAUUAAAUCUUUACGUGAUCUA
rnacentral:rRNA from 1 species